rnacentral:rRNA from 1 species
AAGAAUUUAAAGGUCGAACAGACCUAUACAUUAAGCAGCUACACCUAAUUAUCAUCUUAAUCCAACAUCGAGGUCGCAAGCCUUCUUGUAAAUAUGAACUCUGAAAGAAGAUUACGCUGUUAUCCCUAAGGUAACUUGUUCUAAUAAUCAAUAAAAUUGGAUCUAAUAAUCAUAAAUCAAUGUUAAAUAAAUAAAAAAGUUCAUUAUAUAUUUUUGUCACCCCAACAAAAUAAUAGAUUAUAAUAAUAAAUAAUCAUUUACCAAAAUUUAUUAAUAAAAAUAUUAUAAAGCUCUAUAGGGUCUUCUCGUCUUCCAAUACUAUUUCAGCCUUUUGACUAAAAAGUUAAAUUCUAAAUUCAAAUUAAAUGAGACAGUCAACACCUCGUCAAACCCUUCAUUCCAGCCCUCUAUUAAAAGACUAAUGAUUAUGCUACCUUUGCACGGUCAGAAUACCGCGGCCGUUAAAUUUAAUUUUCACUGGGCAGGUCAGACUUCCUAAAUAUACAAGAAGAC